rnacentral:rRNA from 1 species
CCUACGGGAGGCUGCAGUGGGGAAUAUUGGACAAUGGGGGGAACCCUGAUCCAGCCAUGCCGCGUGUGUGAAGAAGGCCCUCGGGUUGUAAAGCACUUUCAGUGAGGAAGAACGCCUGGUGGUUAAUACCCAUCAGGAAAGACAUCACUCACAGAAGAAGCACCGGCUAACUCCGUGCCAGCAGCCGCGGUAAUACGGAGGGUGCGAGCGUUAAUCGGAAUUACUGGGCGUAAAGCGCGCGUAGGUGGCUUGAUAAGCCGGUUGUGAAAGCCCCGGGCUCAACCUGGGAACGGCAUCCGGAACUGUCAAGCUAGAGUGCAGGAGAGGAAGGUAGAAUUCCCGGUGUAGCGGUGAAAUGCGUAGAGAUCGGGAGGAAUACCAGUGGCGAAGGCGGCCUUCUGGACUGACACUGACACUGAGGUGCGAAAGCGUGGGUAGCAAACAGGAUUAGAUACCCUAGUAUC